AGAUUAAGUUAUUAAGGGCGCACGGUGGAUGCCUUGGCACUAGAAGCCGAUGAAGGACGUUACUAACGACGAUAUGCUUUGGGGAGCUGUAAGUAAGCUUUGAUCCAGAGAUUUCCGAAUGGGGAAACCCAGCAUGAGUUAUGUCAUGUUAUCGAUAUGUGAAUACAUAGCAUAUCAGAAGGCACACCCGGAGAACUGAAACAUCUUAGUACCCGGAGGAAGAGAAAGAAAAUUCGAUUCCCUUAGUAGCGGCGAGCGAAACGGGAAGAGCCCAAACCAACAAGCUUGCUUGUUGGGGUUGUAGGACACUCUAUACGGAGUUACAAAGGACGACAUUAGACGAAUCAUCUGGAAAGAUGAAUCAAAGAAGGUAAUAAUCCUGUAGUCGAAAAUGUUGUCUCUCUUGAGUGGAUCCUGAGUACGACGGAGCACGUGAAAUUCCGUCGGAAUCUGGGAGGACCAUCUCCUAAGGCUAAAUACUCUCUAGUGACCGAUAGUGAACCAGUACCGUGAGGGAAAGGUGAAAAGCACCCCGGAAGGGGAGUGAAAUAGAACCUGAAACCGUGUGCUUACAAGUAGUCAGAGCCCGUUAAUGGGUGAUGGCGUGCCUUUUGUAGAAUGAACCGGCGAGUUACGAUUUGAUGCAAGGUUAAGCAGUAAAUGUGGAGCCGUAGCGAAAGCGAGUCUGAAUAGGGCGUUUAGUAUUUGGUCGUAGACCCGAAACCAGGUGAUCUACCCUUGGUCAGGUUGAAGUUCAGGUAACACUGAAUGGAGGACCGAACCGACUUACGUUGAAAAGUGAGCGGAUGAACUGAGGGUAGCGGAGAAAUUCCAAUCGAACCUGGAGAUAGCUGGUUCUCUCCGAAAUAGCUUUAGGGCUAGCCUCAAGUGAUGAUUAUUGGAGGUAGAGCACUGUUUGGACGAGGGGCCCCUCUCGGGUUACCGAAUUCAGACAAACUCCGAAUGCCAAUUAAUUUAACUUGGGAGUCAGAACAUGGGUGAUAAGGUCCGUGUUCGAAAGGGAAACAGCCCAGACCACCAGCUAAGGUCCCAAAAUAUAUGUUAAGUGGAAAAGGAUGUGGCGUUGCCCAGACAACUAGGAUGUUGGCUUAGAAGCAGCCAUCAUUUAAAGAGUGCGUAAUAGCUCACUAGUCGAGUGACACUGCGCCGAAAAUGUACCGGGGCUAAACAUAUUACCGAAGCUGUGGAUUGUCCUUUGGACAAUGGUAGGAGAGCGUUCUAAGGGCGUUGAAGCAUGAUCGUAAGGACAUGUGGAGCGCUUAGAAGUGAGAAUGCCGGUGUGAGUAGCGAAAGACGGGUGAGAAUCCCGUCCACCGAUUGACUAAGGUUUCCAGAGGAAGGCUCGUCCGCUCUGGGUUAGUCGGGUCCUAAGCUGAGGCCGACAGGCGUAGGCGAUGGAUAACAGGUUGAUAUUCCUGUACCACCUAUAAUCGUUUUAAUCGAUGGGGGGACGCAGUAGGAUAGGCGAAGCGUGCGAUUGGAUUGCACGUCUAAGCAGUAAGGCUGAGUAUUAGGCAAAUCCGGUACUCGUUAAGGCUGAGCUGUGAUGGGGAGAAGACAUUGAGUCUUCGAGUCGUUGAUUUCACACUGCCGAGAAAAGCCUCUAGAUAGAAAAUAGGUGCCCGUACCGCAAACCGACACAGGUAGUCAAGAUGAGAAUUCUAAGGUGAGCGAGCGAACUCUCGUUAAGGAA
rnacentral:rRNA from 1 species